AUACGAAGGGGGCUGGCGUUGUUCGGAAUCACUGGGCGUAAAGCGCGCGUAGGUGGAUCAAUUAGUUGAGGGUGAAAUCCCGGGGCUCGACCUCGGAACUGCCUUCAAUACUGUUGAUCUUGAGACCGAGAGAGGUGAGUGGAAUUCCUAGUGUAGAGGUGAAAUUCGUAGAUAUUAGGAAGAACACCAGUGGCGAAGGCGGCUCACUGGCUCGGAACUGACGCUGAGGUGCGAAAGCGUGGGGAGCAAACAGGAUUAGAAACCCUAGUAGUCC
rnacentral:rRNA from 1 species